CAGUAGCCGCGGGAAUACGGAGGGUGCAAGCGUUAAUCGGAAUUACUGGGCGUAAAGCGUGCGCAGGCGGUUUUGUAAGUCUGUCGUGAAAUCCCCGGGCUCAACCUGGGAAUGGCGAUGGAGACUGCAAGGCUAGAAUCUGGCAGAGGGGGGUAGAAUUCCACGUGUAGCAGUGAAAUGCGUAGAUAUGUGGAGGAACACCGAUGGCGAAGGCAGCCCCCUGGGCUAAGAUUGACGCUCAUGCACGAAAGCGUGGGGAGCAAACAGGAUUAGAGACCCGCGUAGUCCCUGUCUCUUAUAC
rnacentral:rRNA from 1 species